rnacentral:lncRNA from 1 species
CCUGAGUAUAUAAGCUAGCCUGAGAAAAAGGUAAAGUUUGCCACUUGAUCAGAAUCCUGUCUUGUGGUCGUUCUUUCUGCGUCUCUUGUCCCCAUUCCCUAUCCCUGACUCUCUUGCCCCAGGUUGACGUCCUGUAGGUUGGGACAACUGGCGCCUAAUAUGGGGCUGGAUAGAGUUGGGGAUCUGGGAACUUCAAUGCUCAUUAGAGGGACGGGCCUGUCCAUGCAGGGAGGCAUCCACGACAAGGUCGAUUGUGAGCCUCGGUUGGAGGAAAACCCAGCAGCCUGCCCAGCACUUGGGACUUUCGGUUCAUGAGCACCACCUACGUGGAAAAGUAUAGAGCAGAAGACUUGGGGGAAGGAGGGAUUUGCAGUGGAAGAGAGUAUGUGAAGAUUAUGGGCAGUGGUGGCACACCACUUUACUCCCAGUUUUUGGGAGGCAGAGGUAGGUGGAUCUCUGUGAGAGCGAGGCCAGCCUGGUCUACAGAGUGAGUUCCAG